CCUACGGGAGGCAGCAGUGGGGGAUAUUGCACAAUGGGGGAAACCCUGAUGCAGCGACGCCGCGUGAGGGAAGAAGGAUUUCGGUAUGUAAAGCUCUAUCAGCAGGGAAGAAAAUGACAGUACCUGAACAAGAAGCCCCGGCUAACGACGUGCCAGCAGCCGCGGUAAUACGGAGGGGGCAAGCGUUAUCCGGAUUUACUUGGUGGAAAGGGGGCGUAGACGGUUAUGUAAGUCUGGAGUGAAAGCCGGGGGCCCAACCCCGGGACUGCUUUGGAAAAUGUGUAACUGGAGUACAGGAGGGGCAUGCGGAAUUCCUGGUGUAGCGGUGAAAUGCGUAGAUAUCAGGAGGAACACCGGCGGCGAAGGCGGCCUGCUGGACUGAAACUGACGUUGAGGCUCGAAAGCGUGGGGAGCAAACAGGAUUAGAUACCCUAGUAGUC
rnacentral:rRNA from 1 species